UACGUAGGGUGCAAGCGUUAAUCGGAUUUACUGGGCGUAAAGCGUGCGCAGGCGGUCUCGCAAGUCAGGAGUGAAAUCCCCGGGCUUAACCUGGGAAUUGCGCUUGAAGCUAUGAGACUAGAGUACGGCAGAGGGGGGUGGAAUUCCACGUGUAGCAGUGAAAUGCGUAGGGAUGUGGAGGAACACCGAUGGCGAAGGCAGCCCCCUGGGCCAGUACUGACGCUCAUGCACGAAAGCGUGGGGAGCAAACAGG
rnacentral:rRNA from 1 species